AGGAUUAACGCUGGCGGCGUGCCUAACACAUGCAAGUCGAACGAGGUAGCAAUACCUAGUGGCAGACGGGUGAGUAACGCGUGGUCAACCUACCGUUGAGUGGGGGAUAACUAGCCGAAAGGUUAGCUAAUACCGCAUACGAGUCCCGGGGGCAUCCCUGGGCCUUAAAAGGAGCAAUCCGCUCGAUGACGGGACCGCGUCCCAUUAGCUAGAUGGUGGGGUAACGGCCUACCAUGGCUCCGAUGGGUAGCUGGUUUGAGAGAGCGACCAGCCACACUGGGACUGAGAAACGGCCCAGACUCCUACGGGAGGCAGCAGUGAGGAAUUUUCCGCAAUGGGCGAAAGCCUGACGGAGCGACGCCGCGUGUGGGAAGAAGGCCUUCGGGUUGUAAACUGCUUUUACUAGUGACGAUUAUGACGGUAACUAGUGAAUAAGGACCUGCUAACUACGUGCCAGCAGCCGC
rnacentral:rRNA from 1 species